CCCGAUGUGAACUGCCUCGAUGGGCUCUGGUGCCCCUGCGACGGUCAAGGUCUUCUACUCCUGCUCUGAUGCCGGCUUGCUCUCUGCUACAAUGGCGUUCUCCAGGUCACUGAGGCUCUCAUCCAGGAUGCCGUGCUCCAGGCUAGAGGUCCACUUGUCUUGAAGGUUGAUGAUUUCUGCUCUGAAAUUCAGUUCCGUUUUUGGCAGUGCUAUGUACGGGGCUACAUCGCACAGUCGGGCGGUCCGCUAACAGAGCCGGCGAAGUUCACCACUGCCACUACGGGGAGCCCAUCAACGGAGCGCAUUACUCCCUCUAACACCAGGUUCGUGCAUUACUCAAGCGAACUUAUACUCCCGCUGAUAUGAACUACUGCUGUCGCUGCUGCGUACUAGUGAUAUCUGGCUAAAAACGAUCAAUCAAAAAGAAUUUAUCUGAUGAGUGCACUUUUAGUUUUCCUAGCAGUGAGAUGGUCCCAAAAAUAGAGGUGCAUAUUCUCGAGUUUUAGUUUUGGUCCUUAAGUGCACCUUGUCCGUUGCUGAAGUUCAUUUUUCUUUCUCAGUAAGAAGUUCAGUACACCUAUUAAUUUUUAAGAUAUACUAAUUUCACUCGAUGUUAACUCAUCCUUUACCUUAGCUACCUGCUAGGAUUGGUGUUCGACUACUUUUUAGAUUGUAAAUUUUUUAGAUAGAGCAGUUGCAAAGUUCACUUUUAUUUGUUAGGAAAAAAAAGAAGAGCAUAGAGCAGUUGCAUAGUUCACUUUUAUUUGUUUUGAGAGAUUCAGUUCCUCUGGUGAGAGGAGUUCACUAUUAUUA